GCCAGGCGUGGUGGUGCAUGCCUGUAAUCCCAGCUACCCGGGGGGCUGAGGCAGGAGAAUCACUUGAACCCAGGAGGCAGAGGCUGCAGUGAGCUGAAAUCGUGCCCCUGCACUCCAGCCUGGGUGACAGAGUGAGACUCUGUCUCAA
ensembl:misc_RNA Metazoa_SRP Metazoan signal recognition particle RNA